CCUGCUUGGGGGAGCCUCGCCCUGGAGGCAGGGAAACAACAGGAGGAGGAGGAACGAAAACCCGACCAAGACAUCCGUGGCUUGACCCUCCCUUUAACCGCCGCCUGCGGCACUCGCCAGGGUGGAGAGGGCGACCCUUGGCCCCUGGGUGGGAGUGACGGUGCUGAGCUGUGGGAUCGCUGGCGCGGAGCGGGACUCAGGCAUUCACGAAAAGGUCAACCAGAUGACCCUUGAGGUCCCUUCCAGCCCCAGGAGUGGGCAGGAGACUGGACGGGCACCUGGCUGGGGUCACGUGACCAGGCAGGGGUGUGGCAGUUUCUCCCCAGAAACUCUGCUGUGUGACAAUGUGGUGAGGAUGGGCCCAGCAGAGGAGACACACCUUACCCUCUCUCUUUAGGUAACCUGAGCUGGAUGCAUUCCUGAGGGAGGGGAAACCUGCUCCCUCUGCCUACAUGACUGGUAUCACACACCUGGGUGAGGGGCUUCCUCCCUGGUGGGCUAGAGACUGCCAGUCUGCCCAGCAACCAGUGAUGCAUUUCAAAUUGGUUGGCUGACAGCCGACAGGUGCUGGCCUCCAUUGGAGCAGGUAAAUGAGGUCAUAAGGGCUAUUUAAGUUAAGGACUGCCCAGGAGGAGGGGGCAGCAGCCAUGAGGGAGACUCAGAGAGAGAGAGGAGCUGGACCAUUGUAAACUUGCUCUCUCUCAAAACUCAUGAUCAAGGAUCUGCCUGCCUCCAGAGGGAAUCUCCACCUGCCUCUGGAUGAUACCUGUGAGUAAGCUACCUGAGAUCCAACUAGAUAUAUAGCUUGCAGUGACUCAGAUGCAUGAUCAAAGGCUACCCAGCCAUGCCUGUUUGCUCUAUGGGAUUUCUCUGAUACUACUCAACUCUGUUCCCUAUUCCAGCCCUACCCCUUGUAACCAAUAAAGUUCUCCUUUGUACCUAGCGUGGGAGACUGAUUGGGAGUGGGUCUAGAUUAUACCUUGGGGCCCCCUUGGUUUGGCUGACUAAGGGAGACCACUACUUCCAACUGUGGGAAGCGUCCUACGUUCUUGCAAUGAGUCAAGUACCCUCGAGGGCUACUAGGCUUGUGUUUCCCAGGGGGUGCAGAGCCAGAAUCAAGCCCAGCCCUGGGUGGUGGCAGUUCUACCCCUAGGCUAGCAGGUGUGCUCCAGGAAGGGGGUCGGCCAGACGUGAGCUGCCCCCAGGGAGGCACUCAAAGCCUGGCAGGUGGUCGGGCACAGUGAGGUGGGUGGCUCCCCCUACUGACCCACCACAGGGGGUCAGACUCGAUGAUCCUUUGAGGACCCUUCCGACCCAAGCAUCUAUGAAUCUGAUUAAAUGAAACCUGAGGGCUUGGGAACUUACCUCUUUGCAGGGCUUGAGCUUCCUUGAGGAAAAGACUUAUCUUGUCUUAGGUUGGAGGAGGUUUGCUGGCCUACGCAGCUGACCUUAGGGGUGCACCAGGGUGGCUGACCCUGUAGUCUCACCUGACUUGGGGAGUGCUGCACUCACAGCUCCCUGUAAGCACCAGUGGGAUAAGACCCAGAUGUCCUGGUUUAGAGGCCCUCCCCCCAGCCUCUGCAGCCCCCUCCCAUUACAGUUCACAAGAGAAGGUGCACAGGAUGGGCGCAGAGAGCAAGGCACUCCCUGAUUGCACCUGCUGGGGCAUGGCAGGACCCCUGCCUGCUGGACCCAGCCCCAUGGGUACAUCUUUCCUGUGGCAGCUGAGAGUCCUGGUCUUCAACUCUUGGUUCUGCUCUGGCUGUUUGCUCUCGGUUUUGAUUCUCCUUGGAGGUGUGACCCAACGGUUUCCCCAUGAUGGGAGGCCGGGGCCUUGCUACCAUAUAUUGGGCAGUGAAUUCAUAGUCUCAUUUUCUAUGCAGUUGAAGCUCCCCUGCAGCACGUCCCUGGGGCUUGCACAGUUUCUAGACCCAGGGCAGGGCAUCCCAGCCCUACGGACACCCACACACAGACAGCCUGGGCCAGCAGGCUCCAAAAAGCAGCCCGAGAGCAGAGACCAGCACUGGCUUGGCACUAGCACAGCACCAAGAUGACAAGUCAUGGGCAGCUGCGAGACAGGCUGCAGGCGCUGCAGUGCCACUUCACCUGGGACCUGGAUGCCCCCAGCCAGCUCAAACCAGAGCAUGUCCUGAAGUGCCUGGCCGUGGAGAUCCAGCACACGCCCCACCACAACUAGGCCACGCUCCUGGCCCUGCGGGCGUUCCUCUGCCAGCGGCUGGGCCGGUAUGCAGAUGCUCUGCAGAGCUUCCGGGAUGCUGAAGAGCAGCUGAGACAGGAUUUCCCAGACGGGUCCCCUGGACAGGCCCUGCUGAUCUAUGGCAACUACGCCUGGGUGCACUACUACCUGGGCACCCUUGACGAGGCCACGCGCUACCUGGAGCGCACGCAGGCAGCCCCCCUAGCCCCUGUGAGCACGGCUCUGGCUGCUGAGAUCUCUGCCCAGAAAGGCUGGUCUCUCCUGGCCGUUGGACUUCACCACGGGGAGCAGGCCAGGCAGUGCUUCGAGGAGGCCCUAGCGCAGGACCCAGGCAGCAGGGAGCUUCGUGCUGGGCUGGCCUUGGCCCUCUAUGCUGCUUCAGCCCACUCCUCAGAUUCUGGACUGAAGAGGGAAGCGAUGAGGAGGCAGCAGCCAUCACCAGCUUCCUGCAGGAAACGAAUAGCCUGGGGCCAGUGAGACACUGAGGAGCUGGAAGAGGAGGAAGACUGAUGCAGAGGUCCCAGCACAGGGGGGACCUGCUCCAAGUUAGAAGCAGGAGGGCCUGUGCUCCCAGCACCCACUCACACCCCAGCACCCCCAGCGUUGUGGCCCGUGGGCAUCUGAAACCCUUUCCUUGCGUUCACAGAGUCAGGCCACAUGAGCAUGUGCUAGGCCAGGAGGAGAAGUACAAGGGGAGCUGGGUGGAAGAUGGGAGCUGAGAAGCCUGGGAAAGGCUGGAUCAGGUCCACGCCAUUUGGUCAGUGGUUUAUGACAUGACAGGGAAGGGAGGGGAAGGGGCUUUCAGGGGUGUCUGUGCCGCUUGGGUCCAGUGACUCUGGAGGCUGAGGCCAGGGGAGGGUGGGCUAAAAAGGGCACGGACCCAUCACAGUGCUAUCGCGGCACCUGCUUGUUGAGGUUCCUGUGUGUGGGUGCUUGAGGGUCCGGCACUUCUGAGAACAGGACUGCUGAGAUGGGGCAGGGUUUCCUGCAUGCACUGCUCACUGCUCAGCUGUUCUUCGUGCUGCAGGACAUUGCACCCCUGGGGUUUGAGAUCUCCAUGUCUUGCUUCUAUGGACAUGUCUAGGUCUGUGCAGCUAGAUCUCUCUCGUGUGCUUGGCUUGUCUGGGAUUCUCCUGUCCUUGCUGGCAGCAUUGCGCUGUGGAGAUCUUUCAUAAACUUCUCCUUACGCACUGA